rnacentral:miRNA from 1 species
UUCUGCCUCCCCUGAAGGCUC